rnacentral:tRNA from 1 species
GGACAGUUAGCUCAAUGGUAGAGCGCUGCGUUUACAUCGCAGAUGUUAUAGGUUCGAGUCCUAUACUGUCCA